CGGGCGCCGGGGCCUGCGGCGCGCCCAGCGGCUCCAGGUCCCCGGCUUUAGAAAGAAGACUUGACGCCUGUGACGACUCCCCUCUUAAGCCACAGACAAUAUGAGGACCCCGGGGGUCGGCGCGACCGGGCAGGAUCGCGCCCCGCUUGGGGCUGGACCCUGGUCCACGGAGCCCCGCCCCUAGCCCCGCCCACCACACCUGCCGCCUGCUCGAGGCUUGGACACGCCCGGGUCUUCUCUUGCCCCGCGCUGCGCCACCCGACCUGGGCCCUGGGAUGGGGCAGGGGCGGGGGGUGCUCGGCCCUGCCACACUGUGUGACCUUGGGAAGAUGCUUUUGCUGCUGCCAUUUCACAGACGGGAAAGCGACAACGGCCCGCCUGGACUUGAACACAGGCCCAAGGCCUUCUGACCACUUGCCCGCCUCUGCUGGGUAGGCUCAGGUUAGAGGGCCCUUUGCCCUCCCGGACCCAUUCCUAGGCCAUUGGGGCAGCUCCCUGGGCCCACCUCUCUGCCACUCCUAGCCCAGGCCACCUAGGCAGGAGCUCCCAGCCUGCCCGGGGCUGAUCCCCAGCCCACUGACCCCAGCCCUGGCCCCAGCGGGCAGGCGGGCAUUGCUCAACCUUUGGUGUUAUCUGCUGAGCUGGGGUGACCUCCGCCCCCAAGAGCUGGAGAAAUGACAUCUCUGGGCACCCUUGGUGGGUAGGAGGCAGGGAGGGAGGGGAUAAAACACUGGCCCAGCCUGCUGGCUUUCUGGGUCUUCCCAGCAGCCUCUGGGUUGGGGAGGGAUCAAGGCCCAGAGGGGUGCGGCAGCUUCCCUAGGGCCACCCGGCCAGCCCUUCCUCACUGCAAAAUGGGACACUCAGGGCUGAGCUAGAGGCCACGGCUUCUGAGAGGCCCUCCCUGUCCCACCUGCUAGUGAAUUUCCUUCCCUAUCGCCAGCCACCAUUAUCCUAGCUGUCUACCUCAGUCUCCCUGCAGGCUGCCACUUGGGGAGGGCUGGCCCACGAGGGACUCCUGAGCACAGCACGCUCAACAUUUACCAGUGAAGGAAUGCAUUUGCUGUUCCCUGUGCACCAAGAACACUGUCACCCCACCUCUGCCCAAGGCAGCUCCUCAGUCUUGCUGUCUGUCCCCACGGCCUUCACUACUGUGUCCCUGGUGCCUAGAACAGAGCCUGGUACAUAGAAGGUGCUCGAUGAAUGCUUUUCCCUAUCCCAUUUUCAAGAGGAGAAAACUGAGGCGAUUUGCCAAGGGGAGAUCCACGUGGCUGCUUUGACAGAGAGUGUUCUGCAAAAGGGCUUAGAAAUCAGCCAGCAGGUGGCAGGUUCUGGGACUGCAGGAGCCAUUCACAUGCGUGAAGAUCCGCUGGGCGCCCUUGCUCUGGGAUCAGGAAAGGCCGGUGCCAUGGAUGUGAUAGAUGCACACAGGGCAUCAGCAGGCCGCCGAGAGGAACCAGAGUGUCCAACGAACAGAAAACAGUGCUCAACCUUCACAUUUAUCGAAUGUUCCUUGGCACAUGCUGUAAUUCUGGCCCUAAAGACACAUUCAUGGACAAGACAAGCAAUUCCUGUUCUCGUGGAGCUGAAAUUCUCCUGGGGGAAGACAAGCACUAAACAAGAUCAAUGAUUAAAGUAUAGAUUGUAUUAGAUUCUGGUCAGCACUAUGGAGGAAAAUACAGCAGGGGAGCAGAGCAGGAGUUCUGGGAGAUUUGAUUUUUUGUUUUCUGGGGUUUUUUGUUUGUUUGUUUUUUGAGACAGGGUCUCACUGCUGGAGUGCAGUGGCACGAUCUCUGCUCACUGCAGCCUCUGCUUCUUGGGCUCAGGUGAUCCUCCCACCUCAACCUCCCAAGUAGCUGGGACCACAGGGGCAUGCCACCACACCCAGCUGAUUUUUUAAUGUUUUGUAGAGAUCAGGUCUCAUUAUAUUGCCCAAGCUGGGGGAGUUGAUUUUAACUUUAUGUUAGAGUAGUCAGGGAAGACCUCACUGAGGUGACAUUUAAGCAAAAACCUGAAUGUGGUGAAGCAGGUAUCUGGGGGACCUUGGACCACACAAAGGGAACAGCAAGUGCAAAGGCCCUGAGGUAGGAGCACGUAGUUGUGGUGAUGACGGAGAGUAGCAGGAAUUUGUGUCAUAGAAAUAGUGGGGGCUGGCCAGGCACAGCGGCUCAUGCCUGCAAUCCUAGCACUUUGGGAGGCCGAGGUGGGUGGAUUACUUGAGGUCAGGAGUCUGAGACCAGCCUGGCCAACAUGGUGAAACCCCAUCUCUACUAAAAAUUAAAAAAAAAAAAAUGGCCAGGCAUGGUGGCGUGCAUCUGUAAUCCCAGCUAUUCAGGAGGCUGAGACAUGAGAAUCACUUGAACCCGGGAGGCGGAGGUUGCAGUGAGCCGAAAUUGUGCCUCUGCACUCCAACCUGGGUGACAAAGCAAGACUCUGCCUCCAAAAAAAAAAAAAUGGAACAUGGAAACAUGGAAUGGGAGAAAAUAUUUGCAAAUCAUAUAUCUGAUAAGGGGUUCAUAUCCAGAAUACAUAAAGAACUGUUACAACUCAACAGCAAUAAAAACAACUCAAUUAAAAAUGGGCAAAGGACUUGAAUAAACAUUUCUCCAGAGAAAACUGUGAAUGGCUAAUAAUCACAUGAUAAGAUACUCAACAUCACUAACCAUUAAGGAAAUACAAACCAAAACUGCAAUGAGGCGCAACACUUUGGUGGAUCACCUGAGGUCAAGAGUUGGAGACCAGCCUGGCCGACACGGUGAAACCCCGUCUCUACUAAAAAUACAAAAAUUAGCUGGGCGUGAUGGUACGUGCGUAUAGUCCCAGCUACUUGGGAGGCUGAGGCAGGAGAAUCACUUGAACCUGGGAGGUGGAGGUUGCAGCAAGCCAAGAUCACGCCACUGCACCCCAGCCUGGGCAACUGAGUGAGACUCCAUCUAAAAAACAAACAAAACGCAAUGAGAAGAGAGGAUUUUGAAUGUUCCCGACACAAAGAAAUGAUAAACGCUUGAGGUAAUGGAUAUCCUAAUUACCCAGAUUUGAUUAUUACACGUUGUAUACAUGUAUUGAAAUAUCAUUUUGUAACCCAUGAACAUGUACAAUUAUGUGUCAACUAAAAAUAAAAGGAAUAAAACACAAUGAGAUACCACCUUACGCCCAUUAGGCUGGCUGCUGCGUUGGGAAGGAUGUGUAGAAACUGGAAUGCUUGUGUAGCUACUGUGGGAAAUGGUAUGGCUGUUCCUCAAAAAAUUAAAAAUAGAAUUACCAAAUGACCCAGCAAUUUUAUUUCUGGGUGUGUAUCCAAACGAAUUGAAAGCAAGAUCUUGAAGAGAUAUUUGUACACUCACGUUCAUAGCAGCCUUCUUCACAAUAGCCAAAAGGUGGAAGCAAUUAGCUGGGUGUGGUGGCGGGUGCCUGUAAUCCCUGCUACUU
rnacentral:lncRNA from 1 species